GCCUGGCUGGCUCAGUUGGUAGAGCAUGUGACUCUUGAUCUUGGGGUUGUGAGUUCGAGCUCCAUGUUGGGUG
rnacentral:tRNA from 1 species